GACGUAGGGGGCGAGCGUUGUCCGGAAUUACUGGGCGUAAAGAGCACGUAGGCGGGACUUUAAGUCAGGUGUGAAAGACCGAGGCUCAACCUCGGGGUUGCACUUGAAACUGGAGUUCUUGAGGGCAGGAGAGGAAAGCAGAAUUCCUGGUGUAGCGGUGAAAUGCGUAGAAAUCAGGAGGAAUACCAGUGGCGAAGGCGGCUUUCUGGACUGACCCUGACGCUGAGGUGCGAAAGCGUGGGUAGCAAACAGG
rnacentral:rRNA from 1 species